UUACGGCCAUAUCACCUUGAAACACUUUUUUUUUUUUCCGAACGACCACCGACGUUAAGUAACGUCGAGCCUGGUCAGUAAAUAGAUGGGUGACCGUUUGGGAAAACCAGGUGCUGUAA